GACGAACGCUGGCGGCGUGCUUAACACAUGCAAGUCGAACGGAAAGGCCCUGCUUUUGUGGGGUGCUCGAUUGGCGAACGGGUGAGUAACACGUGAGUAACCUGCCCUUGACUUAGGGAUAACUUCUGGAAACUGGGGCUAAUACCGGAUAGGAGCUCCUGCUGCACGGGGGGGGUUGGAAAGUUUCGGCGGUUGGGGAUCGACUCGCGGCUUAUCAGCUUGUUGGUGAGGUAGUGGCUUACCAAGGCUUCGACGGGUAGCCGGCCUGAGAGGGUGAACGGGCACAAUAGGCCUGAGAUACGGCCCAGAAUCCUACGGGAGGCAGCAGUGGAGAGUAUUGCACAGUGGGCGGAAGCCUGAUGCAGCAACGCCGCGUGCGGGAUGACGGCCUUCGGGUUGUAAACCGCUUUCGCCGGUGACGAAGCGUUAGUGACGGUAAUGGGUAAAGAAGCACCGGCUAACUACGUG
rnacentral:rRNA from 1 species